CUGGCUCAGGAUGAACGCUAGCUACAGGCUUAACACAUGCAAGUCGAGGGGCAUCAGAUCGAAAGCUUGCUUUUGAUGCUGGCGACCGGCGCACGGGUGAGUAACGCGUAUCCAACCUUCCCUAUAGUAGAGAAUAGCCCGGCGAAAGUCGGAUUAAUGCUCUAUGUUGUAUUUAGAGGACAUCUGAAGAAUACCAAAGGUUUACCGCUAUAGGAUGGGGAUGCGUCUGAUUAGGUAGUAGGCGGGGUAACGGCCCACCUAGCCGACGAUCAGUAGGGGUUCUGAGAGGAAGGUCCCCCACAUUGGAACUGAGACACGGUCCAAACUCCUACGGGAGGCAGCAGUGAGGAAUAUUGGUCAAUGGACGGAAGUCUGAACCAGCCAAGUAGCGUGCAGGAUGACGGCCCUAUGGGUUGU
rnacentral:rRNA from 1 species